UUGAACGCUGGCGGCAUGCUUUACACAUGCAAGUCGAACGGCAGCACAGGGAGCUUGCUCCCGGGUGGCGAGUUGGCGCACGGGUGAGUAAUACAUCGGAACGUGUCCUGUUGUGGGGAUAACUGCUCGAAAGGGUGGCUAAUACCGCAUGAGACCUGAGGGUGAAAGCGGGGGGAUCGCAAGACCUCGCGCAAUUGGAGCGGCCGAUGCCCGAUUAGCUAGUUGGUGAGGUAAAGGCUCACCAAGGCGACGAUCGGUAGCUGGUCUGAGAGGACGACCAGCCACACUGGGACUGAGACACGGCCCAGACUCCUACGGGAGGCAGCAGGUGGGGAAUUUUGGGCAAUGGGGGCAACCCUGAUCCAGCCAUGCCGCGUGCAGGAUGAAGGCCUUCGGGUUGUAAACUGCUUUUGUCAGGGACGAAAAGGAUCGUGAUAAUACCAUGGUCUGCUGACGGUACCUGAAGAAUAAGCACCGGCUAACUACGUG
rnacentral:rRNA from 1 species